rnacentral:rRNA from 1 species
GGGUUAAGUCCCGCAACGAGCGCAACCCCUACGUUUAGUUGCUAACAGGUGAAGCUGAGCACUCUAGACGAACUGCCGUUGACAAACGGAGGAAGUGGGGAUGACGUCAAAUCAUCAUGCCCCUUAUGUUCUGGGCUACACACGUGCUACAAUGGCCGGUACAGACGGAGGCGAAGCCGCGAGGCGGAGCAAAUCCGAAAAAGCCGGUCUCAGUUCGGAUUGCAGGCUGCAAUUCGCCUGCAUGAAGUCGGAAUCGCUAGUAAUCGCAGGUCAGCAUACUGCGGUGAAUACGGUUCCCGGGCCUU